GGCAAAGCAGAGCACGUGCCCUCCAACUUGACAGCUCCGCCUCAGUGGAUAUUUGUUGGGGAGAGGUUCUGUGAUUACCCUCUUUCACAUGUGAGGAAACCAGGGCUCACAGAGGAGGUGGCCAGCACCCAUCCAGUGCCCAGUGUAAAUCCUUCCAGCAUGGCCAAUUUCAAGCUGCCAGCACGGGGUUGGGAAGAGAAGCACAGUUCACCA